ACAGAGCAUCAGUUUUUUCCUUAUCUCCAUGGUGUCCUGAGGACUUCUUAAAAGAAUGAGAUCUGACUAACUUGCCCAAAGUCACAAAAGAAACUGGUGGCAGCACAGAGGAUUGAAUUGAGGAUUUGUUGGCAUGGCAAGGUAAAAAUCCACUUGGGCAAGAUUCAAACAAACAUCCAGGCCAGCAGCUUCAAGUGCUCUCAUUCACAAGCGAUCAGUCAGAAAUCUCUCUGCUGAGUUUGGUGGCACCGACAUCAAAGCUGCCCAGGUUGUUUGUUGACACCUCCACCACAGUGUCAGUUCCAGUGGGCAGCAGAAGGGGAUCUCAUCUCUGAACCAUGAGAGGUGGGAGUCAGCACCAUUAGGAGGUGGGAUUCAGCACUUUCCUUCCAGCAGGUGCCAUCCAACCUUGAUUUCCACCAUCCAGAUCUUCAGGAGAGGCUGAGCCUGCACACCCAUACCAACAUGCUUUUGACGUUUGGAGAUCUACAGGAGUGGGUUGCUACUCUGCCCAGCUUGGCUAUUGUCUACCAUUGCUGUUGCAAGACUGGAAGAGAGAGUCUUUUGGAAGUGCAAUUAUAUUAGACAUGUUGAGCUGGCCACUAGGAUGAGCAAAACAGUUUGGGAGAAGAAAAGUGACUGCAGGGCAGAUGAAGGGGUCUGCAAAUGUCAUGUGCUGUCGUCUUUCCACUGAGUUGCAGCAGAGACCUUAGAGGCUCCAUGUUGAGUCAGCUUCCCCCAUGGUGGCAAAGUCCCUGGAAACGAGGAGAAGGUUGAACCUGGACAUCGCCUCUGCCCUGGAGCUGCAUGAUGCUGGGAGACCCAUUGAUGAUUUGAACUGGUUUCUCUGCACCCAGUCACCUGCUGAACCCUGGGGACCACCGCACACCCCUCAGGAACCAUCAGUUACAUCCCUUCUGGUGUGACGCAGCACUGGCCCUCACACCAGGGAGCUGCGGCCAUGUGGAAGCCACGACUGCUCAGAUGAAGGACUCUGAUAAAUAUUCACCCUCCCACUUCCCUGCUGCAUGGACCAGAUAGCUGCAAGCCAAGGCCAUUACUCAGCGUAUCAUCAGGUGUGUAGCUGUGUCCUAAGCACUCCAAAUUGGCAGGGAGAUGACUGUUGGAAGGAAGCUGAAGCCAAAGGGGCUGUGGAAUCUGGCCAAAUCUGCUGUCGAUUUUAAAGCUGAUUCCGCUGUUCCUCCCGUGGAGCAAAACAACCAUAUUUUUCAUUUUGCAAAGGACAAAGCUCAACAGGGCUUUACUUUUUUUUUUCUUUUUUCUUCUUUUUUGGCUUUUUUUUUAGUUGUGCUUGCUAGGAAUUUAUUGAACGCUGUUACAUUAUUCUUCUUGCUGUCAGGAAACAGGCUGACUGCCCUCCCAAAGUUUGGCUACUGAGAAACUAGGCUGCAUGGGGCUUUUUGGCCACUGGUGAGGCUACUGUCUUAGAUGGUUGCCUAUGAAUGUCCUUCAAACACUUGGCAUUGAAGAGCUUUGGUGUCAGCCUCUGGAAGUUCCCCUAUCAGUGCGAGGUGAGUGGGUAGCACAGCUUUUGGGCCCGAAGAGAGCAAAAGCCUACUACCAUAAAAUCUGUAGCACAGCAUCUGGUUUGGUUUAUACUCUGUGUGCUGCAUUUCAACCUCAGAGAAUGGCCUUGAGCUGUCUGGGAUGUGUGCUGCCUGGGCCAGGGCUGUUGGGGAAGGUGCCCCAUUCCUCAGCAUCUGCAGCUCGUCCCACAGGCUGAGAAAUGCAUAGUCCUCCGGUGGAAAAUUUUUUAAGCUGAACCUUCCUUCCCUAUUCCUUCAGUGGAAAGUAUGGGAAGAAAAAGCCAGCAGUAUUUUCUUGGGAUGGGGAUGAGCAGCAGAAACAGGUUGCGAGAAGAGACAGUAGCACAAACAAGAGCAGCAAAUUGCGUUCUUCUUAUACUCCCUCCUCCUAGUUGUCCAUCAUGGUUUUGAGCCUGAUCCACCCACCUCCAAAUACUACAAAAAUUUGGUGCUUGGCCACCUGCCAGCCAUCCUCUUUCUGUGCUGGAGUGGGUCUCAUUCAGGGGAAAAUUCCCCUGCCCUGGAGAAACCGGAACGAGAAGCAGUUUCCCUGGGUUUGUUCCAUUAUUCAUUGUUAUCCUCCCCUCGGGCCGCCCUGAACAAUUUCCUUCCCCUCCCCUCCAUGUACACCCUUCAAAUGGUUUUAGAAUAUGGCACUGAAAAAUAAAGUUUAAAAAAAAACGCCAAAUACCCAAGGCAUUGAAAACAUUCAAAUAUAUUGCUCAGCUCUUUCCUCCCCGCACCAUUGUCUUAGGAGGGCUGGCACAGGACCAGACUUCUUUCUUAUUACCAAUCUUAACUAUUCCACUGGGCAUCGAAAAAUAAAGCCCUAUAAAAGUCACUAAUUAAAUAAGUUCUCCCAUCUGACCUAAUACAAGCAACAUGGGAGGUUGCAUGAAUUUUUUUUUUUUUUUUAGACUUUUUUUUUCUUUUUCCCUCCUUUUUGUAGAGCCCACUUUUCUGAUGGGGAUUCGUUGUUUUUCUGGUAGGGGAGAGGGAUUUCAAGGUCACAGAAUGAAUAAAUGAUGAUGAUGCGUGGCCACAGGGAGAAGAAAGCACAGCAAGCACGCGACAAGGAUGGCAGCAGCUGAGGUGCUUCCUGCCUGCCCGGUCCCUUCUAGCUGGGACAGGGCUGCAGUUGUCCCUCCCUGUGGCUGCUGAGUGUGUGCUUGGCCUCCCUGCUUUUGUUUGCCAUGGUGGCUGCUUGUUUUUUUAAUUAUCAUUAUUAUUUUCUUCUCUCACGACUCAAGAGUGGAUGAUUAUCUCAUCUGAGUGUCCUCCACCCCAAGGCUCUGUGGGGCUCCUUGUCUCUGGGCCUUGUGGGAUGUGAGCUUGCCCCAAAGCAAGUGAAACAGAAAAUUAACAGUGGUAUUUCCUGUUAUUCUUGGGAAUUUUAGAUGGAUUCGUGAAGAUGGAUACUCGCCACGGUCAGCCAUGGCGGUUCCAGUGCUGUGUGCCCAUGCUCGCUCUUUCUCUCUGCACUUCAGGCAUAAGCCCACAAGUGAGAUGAGUUGGGCAGCUCCAGCUCGCUGCCCACUGUCAGGGCUGUAUGGGGCAGUGCUCUUUCCUUUUCUCCUGACUCACUUGCUAAUGAGCUCUCCUCUUGUGAGAGCAUCCUGAGGUUUUCUAAUAACAGGAAGUGGUGCGCUGCCUGCCCCGGGGUCCAGCCGCAUGCGGGAAGAGGUGUGGCUGCCUCCAAUUUCGAGGAACACCAGUGUCAUGACCUGCCUCAAUCUCAGCGCGCUUUCCCCUUGGUAUCCGCCUUGCUGUCUCCCAGCACUAUUACCCUUUGUUUCACUUACUACCUGAGUAACCCAAGGGAGUGCAACCAGGAUCAGCCCUGCCGAAACAGACAUCCUUGGGGGACAGGGUUGCAGCUGAUGAAAAGUGGCAGGCAGGCAUAGGGAUGCAGAGUCCAGGGAAAUGUACAAAUGUGCAUUUCUGCUGUGGCUGCCCUGGUUCAGGUUGCCAAAGGUCCUGAAGUCUUCAGUGAAAUGGGUGCUGCAGGGUUUGAAGAUCAUCAGAGAAUUUCCCAAAUCUCUUUCCCUUUUUUAGUGCAGGAUCUCUGGCAGUGUAGGGUCUUGUCCUUUAAUGAAGUGAUGGAUGGGAUCUGCCCAGCCAGACAAGCUCUUCAUCUGGAGAGCCAGGCAACACAGAUCCCUGGGGACGCCUCCCAACAGUCCUGAUUUAGCUUAUUCUAGGCCAUGCAGAGAAUUAUUAGCUGCAGGAGUCUGCCUCUCUCCUCUCCUCGUUGAGACUACUUUUCCUGUUUUAGCUUAGCGCUUUGCUUUGCCCCCACACAAGCUAUUUAUUCUAUAGCUUUUACACUAUAAAAUCUAGGAAAAAUAAACAGCAGCUGAGAGGGAGCUGUGGCUAUCAGGGAGGGCAGGGGUGUGUGCAUGGAGCUGGGAGAUGGUGGUGGGAGCUUCCCCUAAUGCUGCCUCAUGGAGUAUGAUCCCUGAGCCAGGGCCAUGGGGAAGCCAUGCGGCAUCUGCCCAGCUUUAUUCCUGUGGCUGUCAUGGUUAAUCACAGCUGCUCGUUUUGAGCCCAAGGUAGCAAAACAAACCAGAUCCACCUCAUGGAGCCAGCAGGCUCAUUGCUUAACCCAUGGAAAGACUUCACAUGAUUUUUCUGUGACCAGUCACUUCAAAUCUUCCGUGAAAUGCCCCCUGGACAUUAAAAUUACACGAAUAUUCCUGUGUACUCAUUUAUUAAUGAGAGGCCCGUGGAAAUGACAAACCCUAAACAAAUGCAGGAGGCUGUUCAUAGAACAAUUAUAUUUGCUUUGCACCAGCUUGCGGCCUGGAAAAAAACAUCCCUGAAUUUGGAUCAUGUCAAUCUAGUCAUGAGACAAAUAUGUUGUGUGACUUGGCUUAAGUGCUGGGGCUCUCCACUGGCUUUCCGAGGGCUGGUGAUCGCUUUUGGGACUCAGCAAGUUCCAAUUCAGUUGACACUUCACACAAGUUGCAUUAUUUUUCUGUGCACCAUCUGUAAUCUCAAAAGGCUUCCUGCCUCAUGAGUCUUGUGCCGAAUAUGUGGUGGAAAAGUACCAAAGAUACCUGCCCAGGCGUCUUAGGAGAUGAUUUCCAGAAACGAAAAGCAAAUAAGCUGC